rnacentral:misc_RNA from 1 species
UCUGUGACGCCGAACUUCGGACUAAACUCGCGCGAGUGACCGUGCCAGUGAAAGGAUUUUGUGCUCUCCUGCUGGUGAACCGCCUGGUUGUCCGCCCCUGUGGUGUCUCUUGCAAAGUUUUGGCCGGGUAGCGUAGUCCAAACAAACAGCCAACAUGGACGCGAUCAAGAAGAAAAUGCAGGCGAUGAAGAUGGAGAAGGACUCCGCGAUGGACAAGGCGGACACCUGCGAGGGUCAGGCCAAGGAUGCCAACAUGCGUGCGGAUAAGGUCCUUGAGGAUGUGCGGGAACUCCAGAAGAAACUGACCCAGGUCGAGGGUGACCUGGAGACAAACAAGAAGAACCUGGAGCAAGCCAACAAGGACCUUGAGGAGAAGGAAAAGCUGCUCACUCAGGCUGAAGCGGAAGUAGCCGCCCUCAACAGGAAGGUCCAGAUGAUUGAGGAGGAUCUGGAAAGGUCUGAGGAAAGAUCCGGCCAAGCCCAAACCAAGCUGGCUGAAGCCUCCCAAGCCGCCGACGAGGCCAAGCGAAUGUGCAAAGUACUGGAGAACCGUAGCCAACAGGAUGAGGAGAGGAUGGACCAACUGACCAACCAACUGAAGGAGGCUAGGAUGUUGGCUGAGGACGCUGAUGGAAAGUCUGAUGAGGUCUCCAGGAAGCUGGCCUUCGUUGAAGACGAGCUGGAAGUAGCUGAGGACCGAGUAAAGUCUGGAGACUCAAAGAUCAUGGAGCUGGAAGAAGAGUUGAAGGUUGUCGGAAACAGCUUGAAGUCUCUGGAAGUCUCAGAAGAAAAGGCUAACCAGCGAGUUGAAGAAUACAAGCAACAGAUCAAGCAGCUCACUGUCAAGCUCAAAGAAGCCGAGGCUCGUGCUGAGUUUGCUGAGAAGACCGUCAAGAAACUGCAGAAGGAGGUCGACAGGCUGGAAGAUGAAUUGCACAACGAAAAGGACAAAUACAAGACAGUGAUGGCGGACGUGGAUGCCACCCUGACGGAGAUUGUCGGAGCCUAGAGCCCCGGCUGCCUUAUAACUAAUUGUGUGUUCUAAUAUUUGUAAUGCCUACUUAACCAUCGCGUCACUGGAGAUAAGACGAGCUCGGUCUCAACAAAGACAGGUACAAGUCGUUGGCUGACGAGAUGGAUUCCACCUUCGCGGAACUGGCCGGCUACUAGACCUUGGACCCUCCCUCCACAUCUGUCUCGCGUCUUAAUAAGGCUCCAUUAGGCGACAUCAUCCCUAUCGACUCAUUUGUCGCCUGCUGCGCCA